GCUGGUUCUCUCCGAAAUAGCUUUAGGGCUAGCCUCAAGUGAUGAUUAUUGGAGGUAGAGCACUGUUUGGACGAGGGGCCCUUCUCGGGUUACCGAAUUCAGACAAACUCCGAAUGCCAAUUAAUUUAACUUGGGAGUCAGAACAUGGGUGAUAAGGUCCGUGUUCGAAAGGGAAACAGCCCAGACCACCAGCUAAGGUCCCAAAAUAUAUGUUAAGUGGAAAAGGAUGUGGCGUUGCCCAGACAACCAGA
rnacentral:rRNA from 1 species